rnacentral:rRNA from 1 species
GGGAAUCUGCCCUUCGGUUGGGAAUAACUGAGAGAAAUUUCAGCUAAUACCUUAUAAUGUCUUCGGACCAAAGAUUUAUCGCCGAGGGAUGAGCCCGCGUAAGAUUAGGUAGUUGGUGGGGUAAUGGCCUACCAAGCCGACGAUCUUUAGCUGGUCUGAGAGGAUGAUCAGCCACACUGGGACUGAGACACGGCCCAGACUCCUACGGGAGGCAGCAGUGGGGAAUAUUGGACAAUGGGCGAAAGCCUGAUCCAGCAAUGCCGCGUGAGUGAUGAAGGCCUUAGGGUUGUAAAGCUCUUUUACCCGGGAUGAUAAUGACAGUACCGGGAGAAUAAGCUCCGGCUAACUCCGUGCCAGCAGCCGCGGUAAUACGGAGGGAGCUAGCGUUGUUCGGAAUUACUGGGCGUAAAGCGCGCGUAGGCGGUUUCUCAAGUCAGAGGUGAAAGCCCGGGGCUCAACCCCGGAACUGCCUUUGAAACUAGGAGACUAGAAUCUUGGAGAGGUCAGUGGAAUUCCGAGU